rnacentral:lncRNA from 1 species
GCUCACAACAUAAAACUCAGCUUUCUGUGGCCUCUAUAGUUCGGCUCAGCACCUAUAUCCCAUCCAAGACAAAGGCACCACUUCAAUGACAGGUUACCAGUCUUUGGUUGGGAAAGAAGAUGAGACUGCUGCUUGAAUGUACACCUCUAGGCAGAGCUGAACAUCCUUUAGAAAACUGCUGGUGGUCUGAAAGGUGUGAACUGGAACAUCAAGAAUGAAAAUGAAAUAGUCCCUUACCCAGCUUAAGGACUGACUUCUCCAUCAAUCCUGGAAAACAUUGCACAUCUUCCAGCAUGUUCUUGCUGCCCAGUGGAGGUUCCUGAUCUGGCCAUCUGCAGUGUCACGCUCCGUGUAUUUGACAAGCUGAGUUGGACACUCUGUGUGGUAGAGUGUCAGUUUGUCAAAUACCCCAAGUGUGGCUCAUGCCUAUCAGCUCCAGGUCCAGGACAGAGCACAUAGCCUGCUGCCUACAUAUGAAUGCUUAUGAAACAUGAAGCUCUCUGGUGUUAUUCUAUGUCUUUAAGGGAACUAUAACAUUUAUUCAGAGAACAUCAGAGUAGGAACGAUGCAGCUCUGGGGUCUACAAGUCUGGUAUGCAUCUGUGUACAUUGUGAAAAUGCCAUGGACUGCAUAGUGGUACAUGAGGGAUACAGGGAAUGAGAGUAUUAUUUGAUUUAUUAUUAAUGUCUUCUUUCACUUUCCUCUUCUUGCAGCCAGAAUAGCAGAAUUUUCAUACAAGCAUCAUGAAUUCUAUGAGAAAGUAGGAAAUAAAUAUCCACUGUCUGGCCUUCGGAGCACAUCUUAAGCUACCUACAUUUUCUCUUUUCCACUUUGCUUUUAUCAUUCUUAAAAGAACCUUCUUGUUUAUCUUCAUUGGGCUUUCAGACACUACCAAAUUCCAAUUCCUCUUGGCACUAUUGAAAGUUAACCUAUACUUUUCUUUACUCCUUGGCUAACCACAUACUGGUAUGUGCUAUUAUAUGUCCUACCAUCCAACACAUCUUCUAAAGUUGUCAGUGAAUUUUUCCAGGGUAUGUUCUUGAAUUCCCUAUUAUAUUGUAAGAAUCUAGAGCUUAUUAUAUUCAGUUGAUUGCUGUCUCUCAUACCAUUGUCCAACAUUUUAAUUAUUAAUAAAUAUUUACCAAUUAAUUGA